rnacentral:lncRNA from 1 species
UCGAGUCAAUCAUUUUCAGUUUUCUUUAGUCGUUCGGCUCAUCGGCCGAUCUCAAUCCUUGCUCGGUCAAUACAUUCGGCUCAUACCAGCCGAACCGAUUCUACAGUAAAGGUUUUCGAACCCAGCUGGCUCGAUCCCUCGUCAGCCGAAUCGCUUGAUCUGUCGAAGGGCGCGAACUUCGAGGGUCACCAUCCGCAGCCGUUCCUCACCCCGACGCGCUCCCCGA